ACGUAUGGUGCAAGCGUUAUCCGGAUUUACUGGGUGUAAAGGGAGCGCAGGCGGAAGGCUAAGUCUGAUGUGAAAGCCCGGGGCUCAACCCCGGUACUACAUUGGAAACUGGUCAUCUAGAGUGUCGGAGGGGUAAGUGGAAUUCCUAGUGUAGCGGUGAAAUGCGUAGAUAUUAGGAGGAACACCAGUGGCGAAGGCGGCUUACUGGACGAUAACUGACGCUGAGGCUCGAAAGCGUGGGGAGCAAACAG
rnacentral:rRNA from 1 species